ensembl:lncRNA uncharacterized LOC114764987
CAAACAAAGAAGCGGUUCAGUCCGGCAGGCCUCCAGGCAGCGACCGCGCUGGCCAAUGGGACGCGGGAAAGGUGGGAUUUGGGGGCGCGGGUGUGCUCUCUCGGUGUGAACCCGGUCUGGGCCCUUCAGUGGGUGCAGCCCGGGCCCUGGUCAUGUCCGCGCUCGGCACGAAGCGGCAAUUCUGGUGAGCACCUGACAGGACAGACAUGACUGGGAGCGAAUGGCCACCUGAACUCCACACAACGACUCGGGGGAGGAGAGGCCAGCCACCCAGCCGAGACGUUUCCCCGGUCCCCUCCUACUGCUCAGAGCCCACCUGCCCCAGGCCCCAGGACGUGUUCCGUCGCGUGGCGAGUGUGUGCCAGGAAGAUGAGGGCGAGGAAGAGGAGGUCCUGAGCUUGAAGAGCCUUCCCUGUGCCAGGAAACCCACGACCAACCGCCACAAGGCCAGAAAGCCUCAGCGGUACCACAGCAGACAGAUGACGACUCUCGAGAGCUCCGCCCUGAAACUCCCGCCCAUCACAGAACCAAAGGAAGGCCACAGGUGCGGCCUGAUGGUGAGAGGCUCUGGUUGUGUGAAGGCCUGCAGGCUUCCUCCCAUGGCAAGCGGCAGGAGCAAGUCGACGCUCCCCGAACGACCACCAUGUCGGGCAGGCCGGAGACCUGACAAAGAAGCCCCAGCUUCUGCUCCAUCUAACAUUGUAGCCAGCCCGACCCAGACUGACCCCUCCAGUGAAACCAACCAUGCCUCUCUGGCGUGUGGCAGGAAAGCAGACCUCCACGCCCUGACCUCCAACAUGGCCCUGGUGUCAGCCAGCGCCGGCCACAGCCACCUGCUACAGAGGGUGUACAUCAUCAUACCCACACACCCUCCACAAAGAACAGCAGACAAAGGCAAGGUGCUGCCCAGACUGGUACACAUUGUAAAAAAAUGUAAAAACGUGUAAAAACAUGAUAUGCUGAAUGUGUAGUAACCAAUAAGGUGGGAGACAAGCUACUGUGGCUGCUGCAAUGCAGAGACGCACGGGACGGUCAAAAUACGUCAGGUGUUCACACAUACAUCCUGUCCCUAUUGCCAAAUGAAUUAGGAACAAAUGGUUUUACUGACAUAAGUUGUUACAGCUGUUUGCAAUUUUUUAAGGGUCCCCUGACACGAGUAUUUUUUUGUUUUUAUAUCGGUCUUGUUGGUAACCUGAUACUGUAUCAGAAGUCCCUGUCCGAACUUCAUUCUUUGUGCAGAUCUUUGAGGCAGUCACACUAUGAGAUAUCCGCAGGACGCGGCGUUUCAGCGUCUGUAGCUUUAAAUGCUAAUCAGGAGGAGAGCGGCCUAUAGAAUUUGAGGGGGCAUCCGUGAAAAUGACAUCAUCAACACCAUUCACCAACCACAGUGUUUGGCACAGACAGGACGUCGCUUCUAACCACUGCAGGACCAUAGACAGGCUAGAGGAACUCGUAGCAAUGUUAAAUAAUCAGGGGACCUUAAAAAUCAAUGUGUGCAACGAGUGGCAUUUUUGUAAGAAUUGGGUAUUAUCACAUAGUACAGUAGAGCACAAUUUUUUUUCAUUAUAUUAUUGUGCGGUCUUCUAUGGCAGGGAUGGACAACACAAUAUUUUACUUCAUCUGGUCUUUCAUCUGGUCUCCACCUAUGAUGUAUCUUCUACCAAGAUGAAUUUUAAUGUGGCUGGAGGUAAUCUUUAAAGGCUGAAUACACAGGAUAUUGGACAUAAAUGUAUUGUUGUAUUAUUUACAGCUGUCCCACGUGGGCCAGUGAGGCGCAGAUGGCCCACGUUUCGCAGGGGAGCGCUGGAGUGUGUGUGGGAGGAGGGUUGCGUGCCCCCUUCGCCUCUGCCCAAUCUGAUGGAGCCCAUCUCCGGGUUCAGGGAACAGUUGCAACGGCAGCUCCUGUGCCCCACUCUCCCUUACCGCGGUGACCCCAAAGAUGCCUCUCACCCAGAUGCUGUCCCGGCCGCGCACAAGAGCUCCGUCACCAUCUGACUGCAGGGAUGGGGUAGAGCGGCCCAAAAUAACCAUGACCUGCCGCUCUCUUUCAGCCAGACAUCCACGCAUGCCGCCUGAUGACCUGCUGAAGCCGACUGGCGCGUACAGAUCAAUACUAGAGCUGACCUGGACAACCUGUCCACAUCUGGACAGAGCGGGGGGUUAUUGUAGACAAAGUUGGCCCUAUAGGAGAAUCCUUUCUUCAGUUUGACUAACUGCAGAGCACCGCAACUGAACUCUCUCUGAUUGUGUUAGCCUGCCCCCUGUUGGUAAUUCUUAAUAGGGCCCAUACAGCUUCCUGAGGCGUAGCACAUGCAGAGCCACCUUUCAAUAUCCGGAACUGCACCAAUAAUUAGACGAGUCGGUAUUCCACACGUACAUCACAUGUACAUACCGACGAUUUCAUUGUUGUUGUACUUAAUAUUCUGUUUAGGCUGUAAACAGAUCACCAUUUUUUUUUUUUUUUUUACACUGUUCCUGUGUGUAAAAGACAACGGCUCAACGGCCAGCUGCUUACUGGGUGUUCUUUCUUCUGAGAAAAUAAAAAGUCUUGAAUGGGAGC